GAUGAACGCUGGCGGCGUGCCUAACACAUGCAAGUCGAGCGAACAGACGAGGAUCUUGCUCCUCUGACGUGAGCGGCGGACGGGUGAGUAACACGUGGAUAACCUACCUAUAAGACUGGGAUAACUACGGGAAACCGGAGCCAAUAUCGGACAAGAGAUUGAACCGGAUGGUUCAAUAGUGAAAGACGGUUUUGCUGGCACUGAUAGAUGGAUCCUUGUCGCAUUAGCUAGUUGGUAGGGUAACGGCUUACCAAGGCGACGAUGCGUAGCCGACCUGAGAGGAUGAUCAGCCACACUGGAACUGAGACACGGUCCAGACUCCUACGGGAGGCAGCAGUGGGGAAUCUUCGACAAUGGGCGAAAGCCUGACGCAGCAACGCCGCGUGAGUGAUGAAGGUCUUCGGAUCGUAAAACGCUGUUAUUAGGGAAGAACACAUGUGUGAGAAAAUAUGGACGUCUUGACGGUACCUAAACAAAAAGCAACGGCUAACUACGUG
rnacentral:rRNA from 1 species